CAGCCGCCGCGGUAAUACGUAGGGGGCGAGCGUUGUCCGAAGUUACUGGGCGUAAAGCGCGCGUAGGCGGCUUCUUAAGUCUGAGGUGAAAGGUUCAACGCUUAACGUGAACAGUGCCUUGGAUACUGGGGAGCUUGAGUAUGGGAGAGGGCAGUGGAAUGGCUGGUGUAGCGGUGAAAUGCGUAGAGAUGUGGAGGAACACCAGUGGCGAAGGCGACUCUCUGGUCUGUAACUGACGCUGAGGAGCGAAAGCGUGGGGAGCGAACAGGAUUAGAUACCCCCGUAGUCCCUGUCUCUUAUA
rnacentral:rRNA from 1 species